UCAACUGCACACUAUAUGCGUGUUCAAGUUGAAAUUGUUCAUCAGAAAUGAAUGCAUUGUAGCCCAGUUUGGUUAGCCAUACCUGUACGGAUGGAAUAUUUAUCAAUCCAAAGAUUCCAAACGCCGAAACUCAUCCGUGUUUUAUCUCUGAAGUUUUCAACAGUUUUAAUAAUGUCUGACAAUGGACCGUGAAGAAAUGAAUGCAUUCUUCACUGACCCGUCGUCCUCCUUUACUUUUCUUUUUCCCAUCUCAUUUCGAACAUAUCUGUCUUCAGUUCACGCCCCUUCCCCUCUGCCGAAAUUCACCGCUUCCCCCGGCGAAACCAACGCCAUCCCCACCGCAAUAAACCACCCCUGUGCUUUCAUCGUGGCUGUGUUGUACUCGCUGCAACACUUCGGCCAGCAGGUGAUGCACCGAGACGGCGUUGGUUUUCGUCGGGGACGGUGGAGCACCAUAAAGGUAACCGUACCCCUCUGACCAUUUUUUAUUUUCUUCCCCUCCGCAAAAUUUUUUUUCCCCUCUGCACCAUUUUUCAACUGCAGUGGGUAGAGAUUCCCACGCCUCUAACCUUAUCUUUGGGGAAUCUUGCCUUUCUAGGUUUUCAUUAUCAAAAACAGUCGCCCUAUUUUCCUUUUUCCAUUUCAAAAUCAUCUAUAAAUUGAAAAUGACCCCACUCAGAAAACCCACCACCACCACUGUCUGCAUCCAUCGCACCGCCGCCCCUACGACUACCAUUAAACGCCGCAUUGUAUUCGCAGCCAUCACGGCUCCUCAGACGCGGUCCUUCAAGCCAUACCAGCUAUUGAUGCUCCUGGCAAAGGCACACACUGAAGAUAUGGUAAUCUAUUGCUCCUUUUCAAUUGCUGGAUUUGUUGCCAUAAUAUUGUGCAUUAAUGGCAACAUGAAUGAUCUUGGACUAAGGUACAAAUUAUUUUAUUUGCUGGAUUUUUGA